rnacentral:rRNA from 1 species
GUCUGCUUGGAGUUAUAAGAAGUCUAGCCUGCUCUCUGAUUUAUUAAAGGGCCGCGGUAAUCUGACCGUGCAAAGGUAGCAUAAUAAUUAGUUUUUUAAUUGGAAUCUUGUAUGAAUGGUUGAACAAAAGAAAUACUGUCUCUAUAAUUUUGUUUGAAUUUAACUUUUAAGUGAAAAGGCUUAAAUUUAUUAAAAAGACGAUAAGACCCUAUAAAGCUUUAUAAGAAAUUUCUGUUUGGUUGAAUUAAAAUGAUAAAAUCUUGGUAGUUACUCUUAUUUUAUUGGGGAGAUAAAAUUAUAAUUUUUUAUAACUGAUUUAAAGUUAAACAAAAAUAAAUGUUUAUUAGUAAAAGAUCCUUAUUAAGGAUUAUAAGUUUAAGUUACUUUAGGGAUAACAGCGUAAUUCUUUUUAAGAGUUCUUAUUGAAAAAAGAGUUUGCGACCUCGAUGUUGAAUUAAAAAAUCUAAAUUAUUGCAGAAGUAAUUUCAGAAGGUCUGUUCGACCUUUAAAUUUUUACAUGAUUUGAGUUCAGACCGGCGUAAGCCAGGUUGGUUUCUAUCUUUUAAUAAAUAAAAAGUUGUUUUAGUACGAAAGGAUUUAAUAACUAAAUUUAUUUUUAAUUUGAUAUAGUUAUUUUGGCAGAAUAUAUGUGUUGGA